AGCGCGGGUGCGAGUCGGAGGGUGCAAGCCCGUGGGCGAAGUGAAAGCGAGUGUAAAAACGAGCAGUUUGGGGCGGCAUAAGAUCGUUGAUCUUAAGACCGACCCAGAGCAGUUGCGCUGGGACCCGAAAGAUGGUGAACUAUGCCGGAGUAGGGCAAAGCCAGAGGAAACUCUGGUGGAGGCUCGUAGCGGUGCUGACGUGCAAAUCGCUCGUCGAACUUGGGUAUAGGGGCGAAAGACUAAUCGAACCAUCUAGUAGCUGGUUCCCUCCGAAGUUUCUCUCAGGAUAGCGGGCCGACAAGUUGUUUUGUGCGGUAAAGCGAAUGAUUAGCGCAUUCGGGGGCGUUUAGCCUUCGGGCGAUUCUCAAACUUUCAAUGCGCAAGGGUGCCGUUGCUUAAUUGAACGGUACCGGUAAAAACGUCGGCCCUGUGGGCCACUUUUGGUAAGCAGAACUGGCGAUACGGGAUGAACCGUAAGCAAGGUUAAGGCGCCAAACUGCCCGCUUAUAGACCCCACAAAAGGUGUUGAUUCAUCGAGACAGCAGGACGGUGGCCAUGGAAGUCGGAAUCCGCCAAGGAGUGUGUAACAACUCACCUGCCGAAUGAAUUAGCCCUGAAAAUGGAUGGCGCUGAAGCGGGCGGCCGACACCUUGCCGUCUGAACAAGAAUUUCAGAUGAGUAGGAGGGCGUGGCGGCCGUGUCGAAGCACGCGUGCAGACGCUUGUGGAACGGCCGCUAGUGCAGAUCUUGGUGGUAGUAGCAAGUAUUCAAGCGAGAUCCUUGAAGGGCGAAGUGGGGAAGGGUUUCACGCGAACAUUGAUUGGGCGUGAGUGAGUCGUUCCUAAGCCGAGUGGCAAUUGCUAAUUAACGGCGAAAGGGAAGCGGGUUGACAUUCCCGCACACGGAUGUGGAGGCGGCGACGCAUUAUUGGGGCGAACACGCUGGCGAUGGCGCUGGGCAGAGUUGUCUUUUCUGUUUGACCGCUUGCGCACGCAGUGUGGAAUCCUCUUAUAGGGAGAAACACGCGUGUACGGGCAGAGCGCUGGGGCUUUUCCAGCGUCCAGCUCGCCAUCGACGGCCCUUGAAACUUUGCCUGCUG
rnacentral:rRNA from 1 species